GGGGCUAUAGCUCAGCUGGGAGAGCGCCUGCUUUGCACGCAGGAGGUCGUCGGUUCGAUCCCGUCUAGCUCCACCA
rnacentral:tRNA from 1 species